AAACAUCUUAGUUAUACGUACGUACUAGACAGCUCUAGUUCUAUGUACCCGGUUAUACUAUCUACUUGCACUGCGACGAACAUCAAACGUGACGGCCCGUCGACAGCGAUUUGGAUGAUCUACUGCUGCAAGAAGGUUGUCUAGCGCUGCGGUAGACUUGUGGAGAAACGAAUUCUACAAAAACAUCAAGGAUUAAUAACUUGUCUAUUGCUGUGUCUUGCUCAUAACAUGGUGGAGCAUAAGCCAUCCUUCUGAGGUGGAAUAGCAGAGUUUUGCUGCUUUCAGCGGUGAGACCAUGCUUACUAUCUCUCGUCCAUCUUGACUAAGCCUGCUUCCUGUGAAAGUCACAGAGGUAGACAGUGGACUCAAGAAAUGCGAAGUUGAGAGCAGCUAUCUGUGGCUUGGAAUAGUCACUCAUCCAAAACCCAGGCUUCCACAUUUGAUUUCACGACUGCAGGACUGACAGUGCCUCGGUUAUCUGCUCCACUUGUUCAUAUUGAACAAUAAAGUUGUCGACCACCAUGUGGCGUCUAUUAGGCAGAUGAUGUUGCCAUACCGUGUGAGUAAAUCCUGUUGCCAAGGUCCUGAUGUAAAUACAGCAAACUCUGCUCACUAUCAUCAGAUGAAUGAACCUGCAGUGACUUGAAUUGUGAGUUGGUAUCAGAAAGAUCCUGUUUGAUUGAAAUUUUGGCCUUUUUGAAAGGCUGGAAGUAAAACUUAGCACUUGGAGACUCUGAUUCUCACUGCUUAAUUUUUAAGUGCAAGUUUUCUUGAUCUAUUUUGGAAAGCUUGAGACACUGCUUGACUAGGUAGAUACAGAGUUGUCAUUUACUUUAUUGUCUUAAUAAUCCUAGUCGAUGUUUACUCGUACGUCAUUCGUCGAAGGUCUAGAUGGUCUGAUUUCUCUCGUGCAAAUAUUUCAGUUUAAUUGUAUUUGAGGUGUUACUAGGUAUCACUACUGAUCUACUUCACUGCGCGCCUAUAGAGAUUGACUCAAGUAAGCACGUUCAGACCCGGAUCCAGGAAUUUUUGAAAGAGGGGUUUGACCUGGUAGCAGUUAUAUUUAUAGCAUUACUAAUUUUCUCUUUUCUAAUGGAAUUAUUGAACCACGCCUAU